ACUGGUGUUCGGGGUGAUUUUCCCGCGUGAGACUAUGUACAAGGGGUGAGGAGAGCCAGUAGGAGGAGAAGAUGGUGACUCUCACACAGGGUUACACUUAGGAGGAGGAGAGCAGUGAGGAGACAUAGGAGAUUGGGAGCCAGGAGGAGAUUCAGGAGGAUAAGGAGGAGCCAGCUACACCAGCCUCCGGGAAGAGUUGCACUUGGAGGAUUGUGCAAUUUUCUUAUGAAGAAAGUGGUGCGCUCAUGCAUGUGAUGGUGCAGAUGUUUCCGAGGCUCCUAGGACAGCACGCUCGCAAGACCCCCGUAUCCUGGAAGAAGGCAAUGUGAAAGAGUGUGAUGGAUGCAAUAAAUGCGGACAUCUGCUGCCACCAUGAUGUCCAAAAUGUCAAAAACUUUUUAAUGACAUUAAGUGGAAAACUUGCUGAGGAGCUGUGUGAAUCCCGCAGAACAGGGAGUGGACAAGCUAAUCCAGUCUGAUAUGCCAGCUUCGAAGAGGAACUAAAGCAAGCAAAACCCCAAAAAAUUCUGCAUGGAACCCACAUUGAGGACCGUACACCAGCCCCAAGGCAUCCUGCCUAUGCCUCUCUGUUAUACAACUGAAGGAUCCUCUUCUCCAAAGGGUCUGCAUCUUUUGAAGGUCGUCUGGCAGUUAUCUCUGUACACCCGGGGUUGAGACCCAUAGAACCUACCAGCAGAUCUUCAUACCUUUAACAGCCGCUUUUGCCAUAAGACUUGAAGCACCUACCUUUACUGGAAUGCCCACCAGGAUUUACGCCACUAGCAGUAGUAUGAGCUCUACCCCUGAGUUACCUGAAUCAAUCCCAAUAGAGCGAAAGACCAAAAGAGGAUAGGGGCUACUCUAAAACAAGAGACUGGAGAAUAAACAAUAGACACUUUAACACAGAA